UAUUCUGCCCCAUGGGGAAGGAUGAGAAGCUUCGACUAAGGUUCGACUCGAGCGCCAGCGAGAGAACGUUGCCACAGGCAACGGCCCGAAGGGCGAGGCGCUUUAGC
rnacentral:sRNA from 1 species